AUUCUCUUGACAAUCAAACAAAUACUAUUAGUGAAAUUUUACUAGUUACACUUUACUGCUAUUAGUUAAAGGUUAUAAAGUACUGUAGUGCUAAUAAAUUCUUUUGCAUAACAGUAGCAAAUUUAAUAACGAAUCAAGCUAAAUUUUGUACGUCAAUUUUAUAAAUUACUAAAGUAUCUAGUCCUAGUAUCUCUCAUAUUCGAUGGGUAUUUGAUGUAAAAUAAUAUAAUUGUUCAACGGAAGCCUGUAACCUAAAACUUAUUAUACGUCAAUCCAAUAAUGGAAUAAGUACAAUUAAAUCAAAAUAGUACAAAAGAUAAAGAAGAGGAUAGAAAUCUAUUAAAAUAAAUAAUGAAAUUUGUCUUAUAAGACAAAUAUGCUAAGGACUUAAUGGAAAGAGAAAACCAGUCUUAUGACAAGGUGCAAAUCUAGGACAAAUUGAGGUAAUAUGGAAAAGAAUAUGGAAAAUAGAUAUUGAAGAAAAGAAGAAGAAAAAAUGUGCAAGAUAUGUGAAAGGAAUAUAGGAAAGAUUAAAUACCUGGUGGGUAGAUGAAGUAGCGGAAUGGCUUAGAAGCACAUAUAGAAUAAAAGUAGAAGAGAAAUUGAUACCAAAUAGAAACCAGGUUCCAUUUCUUAACUACAAAAUCAAAGUUAAAUAAACAUAUAUAUAUAAAUAUA